rnacentral:lncRNA from 1 species
AGCAUGGAGUCCUCAGACAGAAGAUGGAAACAUCCUUCCAGGUAAUCACGCACACACGCCCAGCUUCAUCCCUAUCGUUCGUCACCUUGCUAAUCUCGCCUGUGUGCAGUUGCUGUGACAGGUCGGUCCUGCUGUAAGUGCAACCAGGCCUAAAGGCAUGUAAGGAACGACUGAUGGCGUAACGAUGGGCCACGAAUAAGGAGUUUCCCAUUUUUCUAUGGCCUAUGGUAGAGUUAUCUGUAGGUUUUAAGUGUAACACACUUCAGAAUCUAGGCAUUAAGCUGGUGCUGUCGAGUGCCGACUAGCUAGGGACACUAGCUAGGCCGACAUGCAAAAUGGAAUGAAAUGUGUCGUUCUAAUUUUAUUUGCUAGGAAAAUGGUG